rnacentral:rRNA from 1 species
UACGAAGGGUGCUAGCGUUGUUCGGAAUCACUGGGCGUAAAGCGCACGCAGGCGGAUCGAUAAGUCGGGGGUGAAAGCCCGGGGCUCAACCUCGGAAUUGCCUUCGAUACUGUCGGUCUCGAGUCCGGGAGAGGUGAGUGGAAUUCCUAGUGUAGAGGUGAAAUUCGUAGAUAUUAGGCAGAACACCAGUGGCGAAGGAGGCUCACUGGCCCGGUACUGACUCUCAGGUGCGAAAGCGUGGGGAGCAAACAGG